CCCAGCAGGAUGUGCAGCCUUGUCCCAGUGAAGGUACAGUGCCAAUCCAUGGAGAGGGGAAACCCCUGACUGCCCAGGAAGGCUGGAGUUCAGUGGGGCUGGUGUGGGACAGGGGCCCCUCUCUGAGGUUGUGCUCCCUGCUGCAGGGUGUCAGAGACAGCGAGGAAGAGAUGGACAUAGAUGUAGUGUUGGACAUGGAGGAGAUGAUUGAGGUCAAUAUAGUAGAUGAUGUGGAGGAGAUGGAAUUGGAUGUGCUGGAGGAGAUCAAGGACAUGGAUGUUGAUGACAAAGAUGAGGAGGAGGCCAUGGUGCUGGGAUGAGGACAAUCCCCCAUCAGCAGCAGGACUGACGGACCUGCCGGUCAUGGAAUCGACCACCUGUACAUAUGUUUUACAUGUUCUUCUGUAAAUAAGUUCUAUAUUAGUGAUGUUUUAAGGAGUUUGUUGUUUUUAUAAGUAGAUAGUUUAAGAAGAUAGAUUUUUAAUUAAGAAGAUAGGCUUUUAUUAAGAAAAUAGUUUUUUUAGAAGAUAAGGUUUCUUUUUAAGAAGAUAACUUUUUCUUAAGAAGAUAGGUGUUUUAUUUAGAAGAUAGUUGUUUUAUUAAGAAGAUAUUUUUAUUAAGAAGACACUUGUUUCUAUUAAGAAGAUGCUUGCUGAUAUUAAGACUGUUGUCAUCAAGAAGACUGUUGUUUCUAUAAAGAAGAAUACAGGUUUUAUUGAGAAAAUUCUGAAAAUGUCAAUAAAUUCUGGAGACGUGUCUUA